GUCCCACUAACCUCAGCCUGCCUGGUAGAGCAUGAGACUCUUAAUCUCAGGGUUGUGGGUUCGAGCCCCACAUUGGACA